CGAGUUCUGAUUAUUGAAAGGUGCUUGCAUCUUGAUUUAAUUUUGAACGAGUGGCGGACGGGUGAGUAACACGUGGGUAACCUGCCCUUAAGUGGGGGAUAACAUUUGGAAACAGAUGCUAAUACCGCAUAAAUCCAAGAACCGCAUGGUUCUUGGCUGAAAGAUGGCGUAAGCUAUCGCUUUUGGAUGGACCCGCGGCGUAUUAGCUAGUUGGUGAGGUAACGGCUCACCAAGGCAAUGAUACGUAGCCGAACUGAGAGGUUGAUCGGCCACAUUGGGACUGAGACACGGCCCAAACUCCUACGGGAGGCAGCAGUAGGGAAUCUUCCACAAUGGACGCAAGUCUGAUGGAGCAACGCCGCGUGAGUGAAGAAGGCUUUCGGGUCGUAAAACUCUGUUGUUGGAGAAGAAUGGUCGGCAGAGUAACUGUUGUCGGCGUGACGGUAUCCAACCAGAAAGCCACGGCUAACUACGUGCCAGCAGCCGCGGUAAUACGUAGGUGGCAAGCGUUAUCCGGAUUUAUUGGGCGUAAAGCGAGCGCAGGCGGUUUUUUAAGUCUGAUGUGAAAGCCCUCGGCUUAACCGAGGAAGUGCAUCGGAAACUGGGAAACUUGAGUGCAGAAGAGGACAGUGGAACUCCAUGUGUAGCGGUGAAAUGCGUAGAUAUAUGGAAGAACACCAGUGGCGAAGGCGGCUGUCUGGUCUGUAACUGACGCUGAGGCUCGAAAGCAUGGGUAGCGAACAGGAUUAGAUACCCUGGUAGUCCAUGCCGUAAACGAUGAAUGCUAGGUGUUGGAGGGUUUCCGCCCUUCAGUGCCGCAGCUAACGCAUUAAGCAUUCCGCCUGGGGAGUACGACCGCAAGGUUGAAACUCAAAGGAAUUGACGGGGCCCGCACAAGCGGUGGAGCAUGUGGUUUAAUUCGAAGCAACGCGAAGAACCUUACCAGGUCUUGACAUCUUUUGAUCACC
rnacentral:rRNA from 2 species